CCUAAGUGGGUGGUAAACUCCAUCUAAGGCUAAAUAUGACCACGAGACCGAUAGCGAACAAGUACCGUGAGGGAAAGUUGAAAAGCACUUUGAAGAGAGAGUUCAAGAGUACGUGAAACCGUUUAGGGGUAAACCUGAGAAACCCGAAAGGUCGAAGGGAGAAAUUCAUUCGCGUUUCGUUGACGGCGUUGUUCGUUUCAGCGACGGGGGCGUGCUUGCACGUUUCCCGCGCGUUUCGUUCAACGAGCCGAUGACGAACGCGUGCACUUUUCUCCUGGUAGGACGUCGCGAUCCGUCGGGUGUCGAUCUAAGGUCCGCGGUGGAGCCCGUCGGCGGCGUUUCGGCGCUCGUUAACGGACCCGUGARAUCCGGUCGACUCGCUCGACGGUAUACGAACGGUUAGGGGCCGCUCCUAUGAGCGUUCGACCGAUGGCAAGCGCGCCGGACAUGUUGGCGAUCGGACCUAGUGCCGAUUCUGACAUCCGGUGACUGUUAGCUGUCGAGUUCUCGAACAGACCUCUUAAGACCGAUCUGCGACGCUAUAGCUUUGGGUAAUUUCAGGA
rnacentral:rRNA from 1 species